CGGACGGGUGAGUAACGCGUGAGCAAUCUGCCUUACACAAAGGGAUAGCCUCGGGAAACCGGGAUUAAUACCAUAUGAUAUCACAUUUUCGCAUGAAGAAGUGAUUAAAGAAUUUCGGUGUAAGAUGAGCUCGCGUCCCAUUAAUUAGUUGGUGAGGGUAACGGCCCACCAAGAUAGCGAUGGGUAGCCGAUCUAAGAGGAUGACCGGCCACAUUGGAACUGAGAAACGGUCCAA
rnacentral:rRNA from 1 species